GCGAAAUUCCUAAAGGGGGGCGAUAUUCCUAGGAGAUUCGCCCCCCUGGGGGGCGAUAUUCCUAGGAGAUUCGCCCCGGGGGGGGGGGGCGAAUAUCCUAGGAAUAUCGCCCCCCUUUUGAGAGGGG
rnacentral:miRNA from 1 species